CUGGCUCAGAACGAACGCUGGCGGCGCGCCUAACACAUGCAAGUCGGACGCACUCGCAAGAGUGAGUGGCGGACGGGUGAGUAACACGUGGGAACCUGCCCUGGGGUCUGGGAUAGCUGCGGGAAACUGCAGGUAACACCGGAUGCGCCCUUUCCCGAGAGGGGGAGGGGAAAGUUCACGCCCUGGGAUGGGCCCGCGUCGGAUUAGGUAGUUGGUGGGGUAGUGGCUCACCAAGCCUGCGAUCCGUAGCCGGUCUGAGAGGAUGAUCGGCCACACUGGGACUGAGACACGGCCCAGACUCCUACGGGAGGCAGCAGUGGGGAAUCUUGGACAAUGGGGGCAACCCUGAUCCCAGCGACGCCGCGUGGGUGAUGAAGGCCUUCGGGUCGUAAAGCCCUUUUGCCGGGGAAGAUGAUGACGGUACCCGGAGAAGAAGCACCGGCUAACUCUGUGCCAGCAGCUGC
rnacentral:rRNA from 1 species